GAUGAACGCUGGCGGCGUGCCUAAUACAUGCAAGUCGAGCGAACAGACGAGGAGCUUGCUCCUCUGACGUUAGCGGCGGACGGGUGAGUAACACGUGGAUAACCUACCUAUAAGACUGGGAUAACUUCGGGAAACCGGAGCUAAUACCGGAUAAUAUAUUGAACCGCAUGGUUCAAUAGUGAAAGACGGUUUUGCUGUCACUUAUAGAUGGAUCCGCGCCGCAUUAGCUAGUUGGUAAGGUAACGGCUUACCAAGGCAACGAUGCGUAGCCGACCUGAGAGGUGAUUCGGCCAAACGGGACGUGAGCAACGGUCCAGACUCCAACGGAAGGCAGCAGUAGGAAAUCUUCCGCAAUGGGCGAAAGCCUGACGGAGCAACGCGGCGUGAGUGAUGAAGGUCUUCGGAUCGUAAAACUCUGUUAUUAGGGAAGAACAAAUGUGUAAGUAACUAUGCACGUCUGGACGGUACCUAAUCAGAAAGCCACGGCUAACUACGU
rnacentral:rRNA from 1 species